CCCUUAGAUGUUCUGGGCUGCACGCGCGCUACACUGAUGCGUUCAACGAGUUUAUGACCUUGCCCGAUAGGGUUGGGUAAUCUUUUUAAAUCGCAUCGUGAUGGGGAUAGAUUAUUGCAAUUAUUAAUCUUCAACGAGGAAUUCCUAGUAAGCGCGAGUCAUCAGCUCGUGCUGAUUACGUCCCUGCCCUUUGUACACACCGCCCGUCGCUCCUACCGAUUUCGAGUGGUUCGGUGAACCUUUCGGACCGGCAAUGCCUCGUGUUGCGCCGGAAAGUCAAGUAAACCAUAUCACUUAGAGGAAGGAGAAGUCGUANCA
rnacentral:rRNA from 1 species